UGGGGAAUAUUGGACAAUGGGGGAAACCCUGAUCCAGCAAUACCGCGUGGAGGAAGAAGGCCUUUGGGUUGUAAACUCCUGUCAUUAGGGAAAAAGGUAGGGCGGUGAAUAAUCGUUUUGCUUGAUGGUACCUAAGGAGGAAGCACCGGCUAACCUCGUGCCAGCAGCCGCGGUAAUACGAGGGGUGCAAGCGUUGUUCGGAAUUACUGGGCGUAAAGCGUGUCUAGGCGGAUUGAUAAGUCGAUUGUGAAAGCCUGUGGCUUAACCACGGAUGUGCAGUCGAGACUGUUAGUCUUGAGUCAUGGAGAGAUGGGCGGAAUUCCGAGUGUAGCAGUGAAAUGCGUAGAUAUUCGGAGGAACAUCAGAGGCGAAGGCGGCUCAUUGGCCAUGUACUGACGCU
rnacentral:rRNA from 1 species